GCUUACAUUUAAUCUCUGCUUCUUCCUUAUUGAAGUCUCUGUCUAUUUCAAGUACUGAUAAAAUAUUACCAAAGGAGCUUCAAUGUGUUUCCACCCUUGAAACUCUCACAAUUGAAUAUUGCUCUGGUUUGGAAACUUUACCAGACUGGAUUGGCCGCCUCAUCACUUACAGAGCUUAGCAUUCAACACUGCCCCAAAUUAACAUCACUGCCGGAAGAGAUGCGAUCCCUCCGCCAUCUACGGGCACUCCUAAUCUUCAAUUGUCCAGAUUUAUCGGAAAUAUGCCAAAAGGAAACUGAUGGGAUUUCUCCCCUCGGUCCCCCAACAGAGUUGUAAACUUCAAUUGUCCCUUGUUGUAAGGAAGAUGCCAAAAAGAAACAUGUGUGGAUCGGCCUAAGAUUUCUCAUGUCCCAACAACUCUUAUCGACAAUUUAUCAUGCACUGUUGUAUAAAGGAAUUCCACUCUAUUUGGCUCAAGCACGCCAUCCACAUUUUUCAGGAAAAUUUUCUUUUCUGGCUACUCAGAAGCUUUGUUGAAUGCACCAUGGAUCUUUGUCAUAAAAAUCUCUGUCUAUCCAGCAAUAGAUGAUCUGAUAUCUCCACAAGAACAAGGCCUAAGACUUCUCACUGUUCUUGAGAAUUUAAGUAUUGUGGAUUGCAUGGAGAUAAUGAUGGCGCCUUGAAAGUCCAAGCACUUACAAGCUUGUAUCUUCUAUUUAUUCGAUCGAUGCCAAACUUGGUCUUUCUCCCAAAGGGGCUUCAAUAUGCUUCCAUGCUAAAAACUCUCAGAAUUUGCAGCUCUUCUGGUUUAGCAACUGUACCAGAUUGGAUAGGCAGUAUCUCAUCAAUCAUCACCUACAGAGCUAAGCAUUAGAGGCUGCUCCAAAUUGAUGUCACUGCCAGAAGGGGUGAGAUCCAUUAGAAAUUGAAAGCAAGUGAAGAACUAAGAUUUCUCAUGUUCCUAAUAUGGUUCAAUGCUGGCUACUUCAUGAAGUACUCUUUAAUGCAAUUGUCCACACACAGUAAUAUUUUAGUAGAAAAGUAGCAACCUGAUGGAGGAGCAUACAAUUUGUUUGUCUUCUCUCUGCUGUGUGUACAUAUACAACCCAUGAAUACAAAUCUAGACUCACAAUAGAUAACUGAUUCAUAAAAGAGUCCUGAGCACCUUAAUUCUUGCAGUCUACAUGAUGUAUUUCAGAGAAGGGGCCAAAACAAGAAGAAUUAGUAGAACCAUUCUUCUCAUUCCUGCCAUGAUGGAGAAACUUAAACCGAUGGUGGAGGGGGCAAUAGAACCGCCAGAAAAUAAAUAUUAGAGAUGGAACAAAAAGAGGGUGUGUGCAUUUUCCUUUGCUUGUGCUUCUCUUUGUUCUCUUUAUUCUAUCUUCAAUCCUCUACAACAAGCCAAAUAUUCAGCAAAUUCAUCAAAACCGAGAUCAUAGUGAUAGUCACCAGCAUCAAGAUUCAACCACUUCUAAAUUGUAGAGGUUUUGGAUUGAUUCACUACAUGCAGUUCCACUGUAAAGUACAGCAGUCGGAAAGCAGGGUGGGUUGAUGUAAACAGUAGCCAGAUGGUCAGAGAGGAAUUUCAGGGAGGUGCGACAUGUUUUCUAGAAAAUGGAUCUUUGACAACACCUCUUAUCCUUUGUACAAAGAGUCUUGUUGUCCGUACAUGUCAGAUCAAUUGGCUUGUCACAAGCAUGGAAGGUAUGAUUUGGGAUACCAAUACUGGAGAUGGCAACCCCAUUACUGCAAUUUGAAGAGGUUCAGGAUAACUGGUGCAUAUGGAACGAGUUAGCUCACUUGCAUCACACUUCCAAUCUAUGCUCUUUUUAGCAUUUUGUUCAUACUUUGUCUUUACUAUUCAGUAGAAGAACAACAUACCACUUGAGCAAGGAGCACAGAUUACUGAAUCCAUGAAAUAGUUGGUUAAUUCUCAUCUCUCAAGUUUCUUGAUCCCGGGAAUCUAAAUGCUUUGAAGUGAAAGGAUAAUAGAAGUGGCAUAUCUCCUUCAUUUUUAUCCAAAGACAAGUUGGUAUGGGGAGAGUAAAAAACAAGGAGAGCUUGUAGGACCGUUCUUCCCAUUCCUGCCAUGAUGGAAGAAAAGAGAUGGUGGAGGGAUAGAAUCAUUAUCACUAGCGGAACAACAACAAAAACAUCCAUUACUUCUACAAUUUCCUCAUUUUUUAUUUUCCUUGAGUUGACAUCCAUGCCACUGCAUCUCUAUCUUGAUCAGGAUUUAGAUUUGUAUAACAUAUUUUCCAAAAUAGGGGCCUCAAGAGCUAACUUAUCUUAAUUUGGUAAGUAUGUCACACUGUUUUCUAUUUGUAUAAUUCUAGAUAUCAAAUUUUAAA